rnacentral:rRNA from 1 species
GAUGAACGCUGGCGGCGUGCCUAAUACAUGCAAGUCGAGCGAACAGACGAGAGUGCUUGCACUCUCUGACGUUAGCGGCGGACGGGUGAGUAACACGUGGGUAACCUACCUAUAAGACUGGGAUAACUUCGGGAAACCGGAGCUAAUCCCGGAUAAUAUUUAGCUUCGCAUGAAGCAAUAGUGAAAGACGGUUCUGCUGUCACUAAUAGAUUGACCAGCGGUGUAUUAGCUGGUUGGUGAGGUAACGGCUCACCAAGGCCACGAUACAUAGCCGACCUGGGAGGGUAACCGGCCACGGUGGGACUGGGACACGGCCCAGACUCCUACGGGAGGCAGCAGUAGGGAAUUUUGCGCAAUGGACGAAAGUCUGACGGAGCAAUGCCGCGUGAGUGAAGAAGGUAUUCGGAUCGUAAAACUCUGUUGUAAGGGAAGAACAAGUACGUUAGUAACUGAACGUACCUUGACGGUACCUUACCAGAAAGCCACGGCUAACUACGUG